rnacentral:lncRNA from 1 species
AAAAAGUCGCUAGAGUAAAGUGAGGUGACAUUAGUUUGUUGCUAGCUAGAUUCGAGUCCUUAGGGCUGUAAUGGAGGAGUAUCAUAACCGUGAUUAUCUUUUAUACCCCAUUGACAAUGGAUGUAUUGUAGCCCACAUAAAAGAGAAAAGAAAGAGGAAGAAACAAAUUAUAAAUGAAUAAUUAAAACUUUAGUUACAAAGAGAGAGAAAAAAACAUACAUAUCAAAUAUAUGGCCCCUUUAAUAAUAUUAGGGCAAAUUCUGAUAUAUGACCAUCAGAUUGACUAAUUUGGUUAUUUAUACAAUUCUAUUGAUUAUUGAUUGUAAAACACACUUAGUCUAUGGCCAACAUGGCCAUUAAUCUAACCCUGUGAUGAACAAGGAAAUAUGGUAUCAGUCUUCUUG